UUCACUUUUGUUCUUUUGCUCUCAGUCCGUGGUCUUCUUUCUGGUAGAGAAGGUUCAGGAGGAGAAUAGUGUAUCAUCUUCUUCCUCUUCUUUUUCUAGUUCUUCCUUUUCUUACUUCCUCUUUUUUCAGCGCAAGACAAAUGUCAAACAUCUGCAGAUAUUACACAUCUGGUGCACACAUUCCGAGGCUGAAAUCAUCAUCAUCAUCAUCCUCGUCAGCAGCUGGCUAAAAUGUCCCGUGCCGUCUGAGAGGAAAUCCAGACGGUUAAACAGACGGAGCAGCAAGAAGAAGAAAAGCUCCACGCUGGCUGUUUGAGUCCUCCUUCGACGAAAACUCGACUGAAAUCGAAGUGUCGCGAGACUAUUCGUCACGAAAAUUCCAAUGGCCGGCGAGCGUAUGUCAGCGGCGCGGAAACAAAACAUGGCAGAAACCACCUCAGAGAAAGUCCAUCCAGACUGAGGACAAGACGACAGGCAACAUGUUGAACCCCAAAAACCCCGAAGACAGAGAGAAGGUAAACAAAAUCAACACUUCACUCAGAAAGUGCCGAAGUCAAGGUAAACUAUUGAUGAAUUAGCACCAACAUUUUAACAGACGUCACCCAGAAACGCGGUCUGUUAACACACCGUAGCCACAGUAAACCGUACUAGUACCAGCUUUGCUAAAGUCACUGGCGACAUGUUAGCAUACUUCAACCACGCUUUUCACUGCUCAGUUGAAAACGAGCGAAUUGGUGUCCAUCAAUAAUGUAUUCCUGUGCAGAAGUAAAACUUUUUAACUCAGAGAAAUAACCAAAAAAA